CUGUGUCUGCAGGUUGAGGAUUCUUCCCACGCUAUUACCAGCAUUUGUUAACCUUUUUGAAACCUGUCUUUUCUUUCCUAGGUCACUAUUGCCCCAGGAAUACACAGUUUGCCACACAGUAUCCUUGUCCCCCUGGAACCUAUAGUGAAGUUUUAAAUACUUGGGAUGCUUCGAAGUGCCAGCUGUGUCCUCCUGGAAGGGUCUGUUCCAAGCCGGGUUUAGCAAGACCAGAUGGACUGUGCAUGCCUGGAUGGUUUUGUCCACCUGGAUCCACAUCAAGCAAACCAGUGUUUCCUGGAAAUUACACUGGUACGAAGGGAAACAAUAAAGAUAAAGUGUGAUGGUGAUUAUUAUGGAGGAGGUGGUUAUUACAGAGUCGUCACCCAAAGGGACUUGGCCAGGUUCAGGGUGGCGGACUUUCCCUUUUUACUUUCCUUAAUUCAGUGCUCUGGGUCUGUCCUUCCUGAACUCUUUAGGUAAGAUAGAGUGCUUGCAAUUUUUAUGUUUCAGCUCAGUCUGCAUCUUUUCCAUUAGCAGGCACGACAGCUUCAGCUUCUGGGUCUGUUGGGUUGUGCCAAGCAGGAACCUUUUGUCCUGCUGGUUCAUUUCUUCCUCUGCCCUGCACUCCAGGUUUGUACUGUGCAACUGCAGAGCUCGCAGCUCCGUCAGGUCCUUGUGAGGCUGGCUUCUACUGCACGGGGGGCUCCGCGCUCCCAAACCCCAUGGAUGGAGCAGUGGGGAACAUUUGUCCUCGAGGCCACUUUUGUCCUGCCGGGAGUUCUUCUCCAUCUCCGUGUCCCCCAGGCUCCUUUUUGGCUCAUCGUGGUGGCCAGUCAGCACAGGACUGCCAGGCCUGCAUCCCAGGGUGGUUCUGUUCUCAGCGAGGUCAGAGCUCCCCGGAGGGCUUGUGUAAAGAAGGAUGGUUUUGCCCAGAGGGCUCUGCAUCAGGCCAGCAUUCAGACUAUCUGUGUCCUGUGGGUCACUAUUGCCCCACUGGCAGCCCAGAGCCCGUACCGUGUCCCUCUGGAAAAUAUCAGGACCAGGCUGGUUCUGUGCCCCAGAAGACCACCCAGGUGAUCUCCAAGAGAACUUCUCACAAGGUGUGGUCAAACCAAUAGAAUGUCCAGCAGGAUAUUACUGCCCAUCGGGAACAAGAGCUGCCAAUCAGUACCCGUGCCCAGAGGGCACCUACAGUAACCAAACUGGAGUGGGAAAUCCCAGGGAAUGCAAGCCUUGUCCUGGAGGCACAUUUUGUGCCAGUGCAGGACUCUCGUCCCCAAGCGGUCCUUGUUUGCCUGGGUAUUACUGCACUUCGAAGGCCCGUGUACCCAAUCCUGUCAAUGAUGAGACGGGCAGCCUUUGCCCAGCAGGCUGUUACUGCCCACCUGGCAGCAGCAAACCAGAGCUGUGUCCCACUGGCACGUUCUUACCUCAGUCUGGGAUGGUUUACCGUAACGCCUGUCUGCCCUGCCCUGGGGGGAAGUUCUGCCAAGGAGAAGGCCUGGCCAGGGUUUCUGGUGCGUAA
rnacentral:lncRNA from 1 species